rnacentral:lncRNA from 1 species
CAUGGCAGGGUCAAUGAGGAUGGAGGGCUGCUCACUCCACCUCCAACACGUCUGAACAGACACUGCUGCACAGAGGAUAAGAAAGGGUAUCGCCAUCCAUCUCACAGAGGCCACAAAUCUGCUCCUCCACUCCUCACGACUGAAAAGCUACAUCUGGUCUCCCGUCCGGGGUCCAGCAGCGGGAUGCAGGGUGGUAUGUUGCUGGAAUGAAUGUGACAAAACUUGCAACUGCAAAAAAAGGCAGUGAAAGCAAAGGCCAGAUUAUUAUAGGAAA